UCCACAGAAGCUGGUGUUUGAGAACAGCAACCAUGGCCCCUCUGCUCUGCUUGCUCUUCCUGCUAGCAACUCCAACAGGUGUCCGGUCCCAAAUCCAGUUUAUUCAGUCUGGGGCAGAAAUUAAAAAGCCUGGAGAAUCCGUGAAGCUCACCUGCAAAGCAUCCGGUUACACAUUUACUGACUACUCCAUAAGCUGGGUCCGACAGGCUCCGGGGAAAGGUCUGGAGUGGGUAGCAACGAUUAGGACUGACAAUUUCAACACUUUCUAUCCUGAGGCUCUGAAAGGGCGAACCACCAUCAGCGUGGACACCUCCAUCAGCACAACGUAUCUCCAGAUGAACAGCCUGAAAACUGAAGACACUGCUGUGUAUUACUGUGCAAGACACAGUGUCUGGUCACAAAUCCAGUUAAUCCAGUCUGGAGCAGAAGUUAAAAAGCCAGGAGACUCUGCAAAACUCUCCUGCAAAGUGUCUGGCUACACGUACACUAGCCACGCUGUCCCAGGGGUGAAGGCUCAAAUCCAGCUGGUCCAGCCUGGUGCAGAGGUGAAGAAGCCGGGGGAGUCUGUGAAGGUGUCCUGUCAUUCCAAGCCAUCGUACAAGAACUGGGGGCAGUCAAAGAAAUUGAAAAGGUGA